GGUUUCCUAUGUUAUCCUGGGGUAUCCUGAGUCAGCCUGGGGUGUCCUGAGUCAGCCUGGGGUGUCCAGAGUCAUCCUGGGUUGUCCUGUUUCAGCCUGGGGUUUCCUUUCUAAGCCUGGGGUGUCCUGUGUCAUCCUAGGGUGUCCUGAGUCAUCCUGGGGUGUCUUGAGUCAGCUGGGGUGUCCUGAGUCAGCCUAGGGAGUCCUGAGUCAUUCUGGGGUGUCAUGUGUCAGCCUGUGGUGUCUUUUGGCAUCCUCGGAUGUCCCGAACCAUUAUGGGGUGUCCUGAGUCAUCCUGUUGUGUCCUGUGUCAUCCUGGGUUGUCCUGUGUCAGCCUGUGGUGUCUGAAUCAGCCUGGGGUGUCCUGAGUCAGCCAGGAUGUCCUGAGCCAUGCUGAGGUGUCCUGAGAUAUCCUAGGGUGUCCUGUCAAAGCCUGGGUUGUCCUGAGUCAGCCUGGGGUGUCUGAAUCAACCUGGGGUGUCCUGUGCAACCUUGGUCUCUCCUGUGACAGACUCGGGUGUCCUGUGUCAGCCUGGGGCUUUCUGAGUGAUCCUGAGAUGUCCUGAGUCAUCCUGAACUGUCCUGAGUCGGCUGGGGGUGUUCUGUGUCAGCCUGGGGUGUCCUGAAUUACUCGGGGUGUCCUGAGAUUGCCUGGGGUGUCAAUAUUAAUGCUGGAGUGUCCUGUGUCAUCCUAGGGCAUCCUGUGUCAGCCUGGGGUGUCCUGAGUCAUCCUGUGGUGUCCUGUGUAAGACUGGGUGUCCUAUGUCAUCCUGGGUGUCCUGAGUCAUCCUGUGGAGUCCUUAGUCAGCCUGGGGUGUCGUGAGUCAGCCAGGGUUUUCCUGUGUCAUCCUCCAGUGUCCUGUGCCAGUGUGAGGUGACCUGACUCAGUCUGGUGUAUCCUCUGACAGCCUGGGGUGUCUUGUGUUAUCCUCGGGUGUCUAUGUCAUCCUGGGUUGUCCUGUGUCAUCCUGGGUUGUCCUGUGUCAUCCUGGGUUGUCCUUUGUCAUCCUUGGGUGUCUUUUGUCAGCCUGGGUAAUCCUGAGUCAGCCUGGGGUGUCCUGAGUCAUCCUGGGGAUUCCUGUGUCAUCCUGGGGUGUCCUGUGUCAUCCUGGGAUUUCCUGAGUCAUCCUGUUUUGUCUUCUGUCACCCUGGGGUUUCCUAUGUCAGACUGGGGUGCUGUGAGUCACCCUGGGCUUUCCUGAGUCAGACUGGUGUACUGAGUCAUCCCUUGGUGUCCUGAGUCAUCCUGGGAUGUGUUGUGCUAUCCUAGGGUGCCUUAGUCACCGUUGGAUGUCCUUUGUCAUCCUCGUGAGUUCUGUGUCAGCCUGGUUUGUCAUGAGUCAUCCUGUAGUUUCCUGUGUCAGUGUGGGAUGUCCUCUGUCAUCCUUGGGUGUCCUGUGAAAGCCGGUGGUGUCCUGUGUCAUGCUGGGGUGUCCUGAUUUAGCCUGUCGUGUCCUGUGUCAGCCUGGGCUAUGCUGAGUCAGCCUUGGGUGUCCUGUGUCAUCCUGGUGUGUCCUGAGUCAGCCUGGGUUGUCUUGAUCCAGCCUGGGGUGUCCUGUGUUAUCCUGGUUUUUCCUCUGUCAGCCUGGUUUAUCCUGAGUCAUCCUGGGUGUCCUGUGUAAGACUGAGUGUCCUGUGUUAUCCUCGGGUGUCCUGAGCCAUCCUGGGGUGUCCUGUGUCAUCCUCGGGUGUCCUGAGACAGCCUGGGGUGUCCUGUGUCAGCCUGGGGUGUCCUGUGAUAUCCUGGGGUGUCCUGUGUCAUCCUGGUGUAUCUUUAGUCAGCUUGGGGUUUCGAGAGUCAUCCUGGGGUGUCCUGUGACAUCCUGGGGUGUAAUGUGUCAUUCUAGGGUAUGCUGUGUCAGCCUGGCGUGUCCUAUAUUAUCAUGCAGUGUCCUAAGUCAUCCUGGGGUGUUGUAAGUCAGCCUGGGGUGUCCAGAGUCAGCCUGGGGUGUCCUGAGAAAUCCUGGGGUGUCCUGAGCCCUCUGGGGUGGCCUGAGUCAUCCUGGGGUGGCCUGAGUCAGCCUGGGGUAUCCUGAGUCAGCCUGGGGUGUCCUGUGUCCGCCUGGGGUGUCCUGUGUCAUCCUGGGGUGUCCUGAUUCAUCCUAGGGUAUCCUGUGUAAGACUGGGUGUCCUGUGUCAUCCUCAGGUGUCCUGUGUCUGCCUGGUUAUCCUGAGUAACCCUGGGGUGUCCAGAGUCGUCUUGCUGUGUCCUGUGUCUGCCUGGGGUGUCAUCUGUCAGCCUUGGGUGUCCUGUGUCAGCCUGGGCUAUCCUUAGUCAGCGUAGGGUGUCCUAAGUCAUCCUGGGGAUUCCUGUGUCAUCCUGGGAUGUCUUGUGCUAUCUUGGGGUGCCUUAGUCAUUCUGGGAUGUCCUUUGUCAUCCUCAGGUGUCCUGUGUCAGCCUGGUUUGUCCUUCAUUAUCCUGUGGUUUCCUGUGUCAAUGUGGGGUGUCCUUUGUCAUCCUGGUGUGUGCUGAGUCAACCUGUGGUUUAAUGUGUCAGAGUGGGGUGUCCUGUGUCAUCCUAGCAUGUCCUGGGUAAGCCUGGGGUGUCCUGUGUCAGCCUGUCCUAUCCUGAGUCAGCCUGGGGUGUCUUUUGUCAGGUAGGGGUGUCCUGUGUCAUCCUUGGAUGUUCUGAAUCAUCCUGUGGUGUCCUGUGUCAACUUGGGGUAUCCUUAGUCACCGUAGGGUGUCCUGAGUCAUCCUGGGGAGUCAUGUGUCAUCCUGCGAUGUCUUGUGCUAUCUUGGGGUGCCUUAGUCAUUCUGGGAUGUUCUUUGUCAUCCUCGGGUGUUCUGUGUCAGCCUGACUUGUCCUGUGUCAUGCUGGGGUGUCCUGAGACAGUCUGGUGUGUCCUGCGUCAGCCUGGGCUAUCCUGAGGCACCCUGGGGUGUCUUUUGUCAGCUGGUUUGUCCUGAGUCAGCCUGUGGUUUCCUGUGUCAGUGUGGGGUGUCCUGUGUCAUCCUUGGUAUCCUCUGUAAGCCUGGGGUGUCCUGUGUCAUCCUUGGGUGUCCAAGUCAGACUGGGGUGUCCUGUGUCAUCCUUGGGUGGUCUGAGUCAGCCUGGGUUGUCCUUAUCCAGCCUGGUAUGUCCUUUAUCUUCCUGGGGUGUCCUGAUUUAUCCAGGGUGUCCUGUGUAAGCCUAGGGUGUCCUUAGUCAGCCUGGGGUUUCC
ensembl:lncRNA